GGUCGUUGGACUGGCUGGUCGACAUCGCUCCUGAGCUCUGCUGAAAAAGCACUCCCAGACGUAUGUAUAGAUGAGGUGGUCGAUACGAUGCAAUUGGUAAAACAAAAGGUAAAACAGGUAAUCAUAUAGCGGCUUUUUCCAGGUAAGAAAACGUCAUGUACCAAUCAAAUUAUUAUUGCGAUAUUUUCCCCCAUCAAAUUUUAAUUUACAUAAGUACGUCUACUUGAAAGUGGUAUAUAGAUUUGUAUGUAUCCAAACAUCCCUCGAAAAUCCGUGUAUAUCUAAUAUCUGGACAUCCACCUGAAAAUUGAAUACAUACUAAAUUACCUGUUCAAAGGGUUGAUAGACAGAUACACAUCUUUAUAUAUCUAUGAAUCUACAUACAUAUAUACCUCCCAUGCAUACAUGCAAGUGACUUGCAAAUGAGACAUGCAUAUGCAACUAUGUAUAUAGGAACAGAACAUCCCGCCGUAUCCGUCGAUGCUUUAAAUAGUAAAAAGACAAAUAUUUUUCCCAACCACUCAGCAUGGGCUCUUUUCCACUGUUCAAAGCAAAGACAGCGGCGCGUUUUUCCGUUGGAAAAAUCAGCAGGAAUACAAUUAAGAUAAUUAAAAGUGAUUUUAGAGUCUGUAAACGCCGUUAUUAAAGAUGUGGCGCAGAAGUUUGCAACUUAAACGAUAUCCCGCACUUGUCGCUGGCUAUUGUGCAAGUCAUCGUUAAUGUUGCCGGAUUCUGUGACCUUAAAGUACAACCACAAAUGGUUUUUAUAAAAUUGGUAGGCCAGACUAAUAUAAGAAGUGCAAGGAAGUACCAUUACUAUAAAAGAACCGAACAUCUCGCCGUAUUUGUUGAUGCUUUCAUUAGUAAAAAGACAAAUAUUUUUCCCAGAAAUCAGCUUGGGCUCUUUUCUACUACUCAAAGCAAAAACGAUGGCACGUUGUUCUGUUUAUCAGCUCAGCUAAAAUAUUAGUAAUAGUAUAAUUAAGAUGGCUAAAGGUGAAUUAACCAGCCUGUGAUACACUUAUAUUAAACGUAUGGUGCAGAAGUUUGCAACUUAAACGAUAUCCCGCACUUGUCGCUGGCUAUCGUGCAAGUCAUCGUUAAUGUUGCCGGAUUCUGUGACCUAAGACAACAUGCGAAUG